CCUCCAGAUGUUGCUGAACUACAACUCUCAUAAUUCUAUGAAAGAAAUAGAUCGGCUUAGAAUCGUGGGAGUUGUAAUUCAGCAACAUCUGAAGG